GUGCCAGCAGCCGCGGUAAUUCCAGUCUCCAAUAGCGUAUAUUAAAGUUGUUGUGGUUAAAAAGCUCGUAGUUGAACCUUGGGCCUGGCUGGCCGGUCCGCCUCACCGCGUGCACUGGUCCGGCCGGGCCUUUCCCUCUGUGGAACCCCAUACCCUUCACUGGGCGUGGCGGGGAAACAGGACAUUUACUUUGAAAAAAUUAGAGUGCUCCAGGCAGGCCUAUGCUCGAAUACAUUAGCAUGGAAUAAUAAAAUAGGACGCGCGGUUCUAUUUUGUUGGUUUAUAGGACCGCCGUAAUGAUUAAUAGGGACAGUCGGGGGCAUCAGUAUUCAACUGUCAGAGGUGAAAUUCUUGGAUCAGUUGAAGACUAACUACUGCGAAAGCAUUUGCCAAGGAUGUUUUCAUUAAUCAGGAACGAAAGUUAGGGGAUCGAAGACGAUCAGAUACCGUCGUAGUCUUAACCAUAAACUAUGCCGACUAGGGAUCGGACGGUGUUAUUCAUGACCCGUUCGGCACCUCACGAGAAAUCAUAGUGCUUGGGCUCCUCGGGAGAGUAUAGACGCAAGGCUGAAACUUAAAGAAAUUGACGGAAGGGCACCACCAGGGGUGGAGCCUGCGGCUUUAAUUUGACUCAACACGGGGAAACUCACCAGGUCCAGACACAAUAAGGAUUGACAGAUUGAGAGCUCUUUCUUGAUUUUGUGGGUGGUGGUGCAUGGACGUUCUUAGUUGGUGGGGUGACUUGUCUGCUUCAUUGCGAUAACGAACGAGACCUUAACCUGCUAAAUAGCCCGCAUGCUCCGGCAGUGCGCUGGCUUCUUAAAGGACUUUCGGCUCAGCCGAAGGAAGGUUGAAGGCAAUAACAGGUCUGUGAUGCCUUUAGAUG
rnacentral:rRNA from 1 species